rnacentral:rRNA from 1 species
UGGGGAAUCUUCCGCAAUGGGCGAAAGCCUGACGGAGCAAUGCCGCGUGAGUGAUGAAGGAAUUCGUUCCGUAAAGCUCUUUUGUUUAUGACGAAUGUGCAGAUUGUAAAUAAUGAUCUGUAAUGACGGUAGUAAACGAAUAAGCCACGGCUAACUACGUGCCAGCAGCCGCGGUAAUACGUAGGUGGCGAGCGUUGUCCGGAAUUAUUGGGCGUAAAGAGCAUGUAGGCGGUUUUUUAAGUCUGGAGUGAAAAUGCGGGGCUCAACCCCGUAUGGCUCUGGAUACUGGAAGACUUGAGUGCAGGAGAGGAAAGGGGAAUUCCCAGUGUAGCGGUGAAAUGCGUAGAUAUUGGGAGGAACACCAGUGGCGAAGGCGCCUUUCUGGACUGUGUCUGACGCUGAGAUGCGAAAGCCAGGGUAGCGAACGGGA